GCAGAAGGCAGAUGGUGGCUCUUCUCAACUUCCAUAAUUGGAAACCUGGUUCCAAUGGCUCUAAAAUGCCAGGUGACUCCACUGUCAAGGCUUCUGCAAAUGCUUGCGUGAGGUCGUGUGCAUAUUGCCUGUUUCUGUGAGAAGGUCCUGCCCCGUCGUCCUGGCCACAACUGCCUGAGACCCCUGAUCACGCUGAGUGAGCUUCAGUCUCAGGAGCUGAGCUAAAAGAUAC